AUAAUUUACAACUUGGUGAUCUAAACCUCUAGCAAGAACAUUUGGAUAAUCAGUCGACUACAAUUAUAAGUAACGUUCAGCAAUUUUUACUGUCAACUAGAAUCAUACCUAUAUAGUAAAUAUAAAUUGUUAUGACCGUAACGUUUAACUGAAAUAUAUUAAAAUCAAAGCAUAAAUUUAAUAUUGUGUCUCCUAAAAAUAUCAUAUUAUUCGCGUAUCUAUUUCGGAUUUAUUGCAAAUAUGCUGAUAAAAUUUAUCGUUUCGUUUGUUAUUAUUUAUUCUUUUAUGCCGGUGUCAGUACAAGGUGAAGGUCCGUUUGCUCCUGAACCGCCAUCUCAUCUCCCUAAUGAUCCUGGGAAUCCAUCUAUUUCUCAUGAUUCUGACAUUUCAGAUACAGGAGUUCACCCUAACCGUUAUCCUGAUAGUUCACCCCCAGAUGAUUGUGGUGGUUUCGGUUGUUGCCCCUCACCUUGUAAGAGAAAUUUAACAUGGGCCGAAUAUAAUUGUAAUAAAGGUUAUCACAUGUAUAAACCCGAAAUACCAAAUUGUUAUUGCUGUAACUGAAUAAUUCAUUUAUUCGAGGCACAAUUGCAAACUAUUUUACAAAUUCCAUAAAAAUAUCCAAAAUGAUCUUUCCAUAAUUUAUUCGUUUAAUGAAGCACACUUCCAAAUUGAGGCACUGCUACAAUUUAAAUUAAUUUACACCUUAACUACAAUAAUAUUGGUUUGAC
rnacentral:lncRNA from 1 species